AUUGAACGCUGGCGGCAGGCUUAACACAUGCAAGUCGAACGAGUGGCGGCCGGGUGAGUAAUGCUUGGGAAUCUAGCUUAUGGAGGGGGAUAACUACGGGCAACUGUAGCUAAUACCGCGUCCCAUAGGAUGAGCCCAUGUGGGAUUCGGUAGGUGGUGAGGUAAAGGCUCACCAAGCCGACGAUCGCUAGCUGGUCUGGGAGGAUGACCAGCCACACUGGGACUGAGACACGGCCCAGACUCCUACGGGAGGCAGCAGUGGGGAAUAUUGCGCAAUGGACGAAAGUCGGACGGAGCAACGCGGCGUGAGUGAUGACGGCCUUCGGGUUGUAAAGCUCUGUUAAUCGGGAGACGGUAGCGGAAAAGAAAGCCACGGCUAACUACGUGCCAGCAGCCGCGGUAAUAG
rnacentral:rRNA from 1 species